rnacentral:sRNA from 1 species
AAACUGAAAGAAAAAAAAGAAGAAAAAAGC